rnacentral:rRNA from 1 species
GACGAACGCUGGCGGCGUGCCUAAUACAUGCAAGUAGAACGCUGAAGGAGGAGCUUGCUCUUCUGGAUGAGUUGCGAACGGGUGAGUAACGCGUAGGUAACCUGCCUGGUAGCGGGGGAUAACUAUUGGAAACGAUAGCUAAUACCGCAUAAGAGUAGAUGUUGCAUGACAUUUGCUUAAAAGGUGCAAUUGCAUCACUACCAGAUGGACCUGCGUUGUAUUAGCUAGUUGGUGGGGUAACGGCUCACCAAGGCGACGAUACAUAGCCGACCUGGGAGGGUGAUCGGCCACACUGGGACUGAGACACGGCCCAGACUCCUACGGGAGGCAGCAGUAGGGAAUCUUCGGUAAUGGACGGAAGUCUGACCGAGCAACGCCGCGUGAGUGAAGAAGGUUUUCGGAUCGUAAAGCUCUGUUGUAAGAGAAGAACGAGUGUGAGAGUGGAAAGUUCACACUGUGACGGUAUCUUACCAGAAAGGGACGGCUAACUACGUG